rnacentral:lncRNA from 1 species
AAUUAAAUUCGUGUAAUGAUAUGAACUUAUGGUAAAUCGAUGAUUGUGGUGACUGCAUAGAUUUCCCCACUUGUGGAUUUAUAUUGUGGUUUUUAUUUUGAUGAGUUGGGUUCAGAUUGUAUAAAUUAUCGAGUGAUGUGUGCUAUGUUUAUGAAUUGCACAGGGUUAUGAAUUGGUAGAUUAUAGAAGUGAAAUUUUUGAUCUGAAUGUUUUCUUAGUGACCUCAAAUGUGUGUUUGGAUCCUGGGUUUGUUGUGACGAAAAAUUUUAAAUAUCAUGGAUAUUUUUAGGGGCGUGACA